AUGCCUGCUGCCUGUGGGUGAGGAUGUAUGUAAAGCUCUCAGCUUCUUCUCCAGCUCCAAGCCUGCCUACAUGCUGCUACGCCAUGAUGAGAAUAGACCAACCUUCUGAAACUGUAAGCCUCCCUUUAUAAGUUCCCUUGGCCAUGGUGUCUUUUCGCAGCAAUGGAACAGUAACGAGGACAGCUCUCCAGGUCACUUCAAGUGAAGUCUUUCCCUUGACACAGGAGAUUUCCCUCCUUCCUGCUUUGUGCCUUUUAUGUAAUUCUGUCGUUGCCACUUUAACACACUGCUGCAUUAUUUUCUAACAGGCCUCUUCCUACAUGCCUUUUUCCUCCUGCCAAACAGCCAUGCUUGAUUCCUUUUCACACUCCCAGCACCUAGAAGUGCCUGGCACAAUGAACAGUAAGACACACUUAAUAGAUGUCUGAUGAAGGAAGCAGCGCUUGAGGUUCGGGGCCAAGUGAUGGUGUCAGAGUCUAUUCCUGCCUUCUGAAGAGGGGCUAACUGCAGGAAGAUAAGAUGAUCAAGAAAAUUAGAAACACUGUUCCAAGUUGUGUUUUCUGACAUUUCCCCCCCCCCAAAAAAAAACCAGAGGAAGAACAGUGUGGAGGCAUUUCUAGGGCACCUGUCACCAGAGCAUCCCUCACAGCCAGGUACAAGCGCUGUUCUUCCUUGAGAACUUCAACUCUAAGGUUGUUCUAGAUGUUGGCUGUGGAUUUGGAAUACUGUUUUUGUUUUGUUUUGUUUUGUUCUUUGUUUUUGUUUUGUUUGUUUUUUCUAUGGAUGCUGGAGUGAGGAAGGUUGAUGCAGUGAAAUCAGAUCAAGUAGCACAGGAUGCUUAGGUAAGUGCUUGUACUUAAAGGCGGACCUUUAUUUGGUCUUUGAAUGCUUCAGGGUAUCAAAUGAUGUGACCUUCUGGUAGGUUGUUUAGAAUAGCAUUUUUAUUUUUAGGUUAUUUUAGGUUAUGCCUUUUCUCCGCCCCACACACACACAUUGGAAUGUUGCUGCGCUAGAGCCCAACUUCCUUGUAGUAAUUCAUAGAAAACAAUUUUUCUUUAUAUUUUAAAUUUUAAUUUAAUUUAAAAUUUAGUUUAAGAAUUAAAACACAGCAUGCUUUCUCCCUUCCCAUCUGCCUUGUGGCAGGUAGUGUGGGGCAGUGGGUGAGGAUGUGUUUAUCUUUGAUGCCCAGGCGAAGAAUCAGGUCUCACUGAAUCUAGAUUCCUUUCCUCUCUUCCAACCUUGUGCUUAUGUCAUACUAAAGGCUGUAAUUGGCAUUUUUGCUUACUGAUAACUAUGCUUCUUGGCUUUUGUGCUCUAUCUUCUGCAAGGUACUUGUUCAUAGAUUUGGACAAUUUUCCAUGUGAAUCAAUUCUAAUUCAUUCGUAGCAACAAGGUUCGUGGCCUCUGUGUUAACCUACAUGAGCUGUAUAAUCUCUUCGGCAAAUGUCUUCUCCCGGUUGGCACGUGACCGUCACUUCUUCCUGACGGUCUUGUCUUUGAAAACAUGAGAGAUGAAGCUUGCAGAAAGAGAGACUCAUGCAUGAAAACCGCUCUUCUUGAACGUUAAGAUGUGUCCCCGAGAAUGAGGCCUUAAGGUCUCAGGUGUAGCCAUCUUUGUUCCGUUGUGUCCUUCAACAUUGUUACUGGGUAG